rfam:Oscillatoriales cyanobacterium 'hensonii' Contig_30, whole genome shotgun sequence.
GCGGAUGUGGCGGAAUUGGCAGACGCGCCAGAUUUAGGUUCUGGUUCCUCACGGAGUGAAGGUUCAAGUCCUUUCAUCCGCA